UCAACAGCAAAGUCGCAAAGUACCAAAAUUGCUUGGAUACUUCAAAGAAGAUCUAUGAUCACAUCGCUGAAACUUUAAGUAAACGUGAGGUGCGCGCAAAGCAAAAAGCAAUAUCCAAGAUUCAGAACCAUCUUCAAGAAAAGUUAAAGAAAGCGAAUACGGCACAACAGAAGUACCAAACUAUUCUUGAACAUGAAUCCAAGACUAGAGCAUCCAUCAAAAUGCUUGAACAGGACUUGUUCAACUUGAUUGAGCUCCAAGUGAACGACAGGAAACCGACACCAACAGUAGUAAAGAUACAUACAACCAUCUCAGUACAAACCCUUGUGCAAAAAAUGAGCAGCAGAUACCAGUUUACUCUUCCUCAGGUGUUCAAUGAAAAAAACGGAUUCCAUUCAAAAUUACCAGAUGUUGACCUCAUUAGACGAGAAUUCGAAAGAUAAAAACUGUGAUAUCUAGAUAUAGACAUGUGCAAUAUACAUUUUUGUGUUCUAUUUCAUUUCUGUAC